rnacentral:rRNA from 1 species
GACGAACGCUGGCGGCGUGCUUAACACAUGCAAGUCGAACGGAAAGGCCCUGCUUUUGUGGGGUGCUCGAGUGGCGAACGGGUGAGUAACACGUGAGUAACCUGCCCUUGACUUUGGGAUAACUUCAGGAAACUGGGGCUAAUACCGGAUAGGAGCUCCUGCUGCAUGGUGGGGGUUGGAAAGUUUCGGCGGUUGGGGAUGGACUCGCGGCUUAUCAGCUUGUUGGUGGGGUAGUGGCUUACCAAGGCUUUGACGGGUAGCCGGCCUGAGAGGGUGACCGGCCACAUUGGGACUGAGAUACGGCCCAGACUCCUACGGGAGGCAGCAGUGGGGAAUAUUGCACAAUGGGCGGAAGCCUGAUGCAGCAACGCCGCGUGCGUGAUGACGGCCUUCGGGUUGUAAACCGCUUUCGCCUGUGACGAAGCGUGAGUGACGGUAGUGGGUAAAGAAGCACCGGCUAACUACGUG